rnacentral:rRNA from 1 species
AUAAGCGCUGAAAGCAUCUAAGCGCGAAGCGAGCCUGAGAUGAGUCUUCCCUGACAGUUUAACUGUCCUAAAGGGUUGUUCGAGACUAGAACGUUGAUAGGCAGGGUGUGUAAGCGUUGUGAGGCGUUGAGCUAACCUGUACUAAUUGCCCGUGAGGCUUAACCAU